CCCAAAGUAUACCCACUUAAGCAACGUCAGGGAAACAAACCGCGCUCUCUCAAGACUUAGGGACGUAAAAAGCUCUAAAAGACAUGGAAAGAAGCUGUGCUGAGGCUUUCCGAAAACUCAGGCUUCUUUGUGCUGCUCAUUUGUAUGUGGGCAGUACCAAGACGCUAUGACAGAUGCGCAAGCGUCCUUUGGACAAAGAGGGCGGCUGAGAGCGCCACUCGCCCAGAGCGUUCUGGGCGGGGCCUGGAACUGGGGGCGGGGCCCGGCACGUAGGCGGGGUCUCGUCAGGUCCAGGUCCCGCCCCAUUUGAGGGUUAUUAGUAUCUGUUGAGGGGUCUUAAGUUCCUAGGGUUGUUAGGAAUUUCACCUCAAUUAAGUCAAGAGCAGCUUUUUGGAGCCGGCAGUGAGUACAUUACUUGUAAGCGAAAUUCUGUCUUAAUGCCUGGAAAAGUGACCAGAAAGGAGAAGAGUGAUCUAGGAGAGAGAAGAGGAAAGGACAGCUUUAUUGAGUUUGGGAAGAACACGUUGACAUCAGCUCCCUGCUCUGUCCUUCUCAUGGUUGAAUGUCAAUAUGGCGCAGCAAGCUGCCUCCCAGUUGCCUGCCUGCCUGCCUUCCAAGCAAGUCAAAAGCACAUCCAAGGAGAUUAUGGAUUUAACUCAAGUUUGACACAUCACAUUUCAUUUCACUGGUAAAGAAAGGCUGAGGUAUGACUCAUAAUUUAUUUUAAAUCAUUUUAAAUACACUUAAUUAUGCACAAGAAAAAGUUGAGCUCCAGAACAAGACUCAAGCUACUUUACAUUAAAUCAUCGAUGAAAA